rnacentral:rRNA from 1 species
AUUGAACGCUGGCGGCAGGCCUAACACAUGCAAGUCGAGCGGAAACGAGUUAUCUGAACCUUCGGGGAACGAUAACGGCGUCGAGCGGCGGACGGGUGAGUAAUGCCUAGGAAAUUGCCCUGAUGUGGGGGAUAACCAUUGGAAACGAUGGCUAAUACCGCAUGAUGCCUACGGGCCAAAGAGGGGGACCUUCGGGCCUCUCGCGUCAGGAUAUGCCUAGGUGGGAUUAGCUAGUUGGUGAGGUAAGGGCUCACUAAGGCGACGAUCCCUAGCUGGUCUGAGAGGAUGAUCAGCCACACUGGAACUGAGACACGGUCCAGACUCCUACGGGAGGCAGCAGUGGGGAAUAUUGCACAAUGGGCGCAAGCCUGAUGCAGCCAUGCCGCGUGUAUGAAGAAGGCCUUCGGGUUGUAAAGUACUUUCAGUCGUGAGGAAGGCGGCGUCGUUAAUAGCGGCGUUGUUUGACGUUAGCGACAGAAGAAGCACCGGCUAACUCCGUGCCAGCAGCCGCGGUAAUACGGAGGGUGCGAGCGUUAAUCGGAAUUACUGGGCGUAAAGCGCAUGCAGGUGGUUUGUUAAGUCAGAUGUGAAAGCCCGGGGCUCAACCUCGGAAUAGCAUUUGAAACUGGCAGACUAGAGUACUGUAGAGGGGGGGUAGAAUUUCAGGUGUAGCGGUGAAAUGCGUAGAGAUCUGAAGGAAUACCGGUGGCGAAGGCGGCCCCCUGGACCGACCCUGACUCUCAGAUGCGAAAGCGUGGGGUAGCAAACAUGUUUAUAUACCGGGGUAUUUCAAGGGGGGUUUCUUCCUUGGAUUUCACGCCUACU